AGUAAAAUAGCCCACAAGCUGUAUAGUUGCCCUCUUUUAAUCCCCUGUGCAUGUAAAGGUAAUAUGUGAAAAGGUGUGGCGGCUCCUUUAAGUGAUUAUCUCCGUGUGUGUGAGAGAGAGAGCGCCUAUGCGAGCGUAAGAAGCUGGGAAGCGAACGGGCCUCGAUGUGGUGAGAAAAUACGUUUAUAGAGUUCAAAAGACGUUAAAAUAGUGAUAAAUAUCAACUUAUCAGUGUAUAUUGAUUUGCCUUAAGGUCUGGUCGGUGGAUUGUUGCUUAUUUUGCACGUCCGUUCAGCUUUCUCAUUAGUUCGUGGGCGAUGUCUUCACAUUAAGUGUGCUCUUCAGAGGCGUCUGAAGUUAAGAGCAGGGGAGAGGUGAAGCACGUUUACUCGCACGUGAGCUGCGGUCCACGUGAGCACUCGGGUUUGAGAGACUGCCGCAAUGUUCUGGGGAUCUAAUGCUUGUGAUAAUCUACAGCAGAUGACCAUGACAAUCCAGGU